rnacentral:rRNA from 1 species
UACGGAGGUCCCAAGCGUUGUUCGGAAUUACUGGGCGUAAAGGGAGCGCAGGCGGACAGGUAAGUCUAAAGUGGAAUCCCGGGGCUCAACCUCGGAACUGCUUCGGAUACUGCUUGUCUUGAGUUCGUGAGAGGAAAGCGGAAUUCAGGGUGUAGCGGUGAAAUGCUUAGAUAUCCUGAGGAACACCAAUGGCGAAGGCAGCUUUCUGGCGCGAUACUGACGCUGAGGCUCGAAAGCGUGGGGAGCGAACGGG